rnacentral:rRNA from 1 species
GACGAACGCUGGCGGCGUGCCUAAUACAUGCAAGUAGAACGCUGAAGGAGGAGCUUGCUUCUCUGGAUGAGUUGCGAACGGGUGAGUAACGCGUAGGUAACCUGCCUGUUAGCGGGGGAUAACUAUUGGAAACGAUAGCUAAUACCGCAUAAGAGUAGAUGUUGCAUGACAUUUGCUUAAAAGGUGCAAUUGCAUCACUACCAGAUGGACCUGCGGUGUAUUAGCUAGUUGUUGGGGUAACGGCUUACCAAGGCGACGAUACAUAGCCGACCUGAGAGGGGGAUCGGCCACACUGGGACUGAGACACGGCCCAGAAGCCUAAGGGAGGCAGCAGUAGGGAAUCUUCGGCAAUGGACGGAAGUCUGACCGAGCAACGCCGGGUGAGUGAAGAAGGGUUUCGGAUCGUAAAGCUCUGUUGUAAGAGAAGAAAGAGUGUGAGAGUGGAAAGUUCACACUGUGACGGUAUCUUAUCAGAAAGGGACGGCUAACUACGUG